UACAGAGGGGGCAAGCGUUAUUCGGAAGUAUUGGGCGUAAAGGGCGCGUAGGCGGCUUUUCAAGUGACGGGUGAAAUCCCUCGGCUUAACCGAGGAACUGCCUGUCAGACUGGAAGGCUUGAGACCGGGAGAGGUGAGUGGAAUUCCCAGUGUAGCGGUGAAAUGCGUAGAUAUUGGGAGGAACACCAGUGGCGAAGGCGGCUCACUGGACCGGUACUGACGCUGAGGCGCGAAAGCGUGGGGAGCAAACAGG
rnacentral:rRNA from 1 species